UACGUCGGGGGCAAGCGUUGUCCGGAUUUAUUGGGCGUAAAGAGCGUGUAGGCGGUUAGGUAGGUCCGUUGUGAAAACUCGAGGCUCAACCUCGAGACGUCGGCGGAAACCAUCUGGCUAGAGUCCGGAAGAGGAGAGUGGAAUUCCUGGUGUAGCGGUGAAAUGCGCAGAUAUCAGGAGGAACACCCGUAGCGAAGGCGGCACUCUGGGCCGAUACUGACACUGAGGAGCGAAAGCGUGGGGAGCGAACAGG
rnacentral:rRNA from 1 species